UAAUGAUAUGAAAAUAUAUUUUUUUUUUAAAAAAAAAGAUCUAGCUUUAUAUGGGUUACUCUACAUGAUUUACUCUAAAAGAAAAUGAAAGAAAUAUAAAGUUUGGUAUGCAAAUUCAGGAAUCCAUUUAUGACCUUAAACAAGCUCCAAAAUAAUGAUAUAUAAAGGUUCUUAAUAUCAUUAUUUUUUAGAUUUAAGGUAAAUGCUAUUAAUUAGUAUUUAUAUCAAUGGGAGCAAGUUUAUUAUAUUGGUCUUAUAUAUGGAUAAUAUUUUGCCUUACCAAUAGUGAUCUUGAUUUAUUAUACUAAAUCAAGAAUUUAUCACUGAGAGUUUUAAUAUGGUUGAUAUGAAUGAGACAUCUUAUAUUAUUAACAUUGAGUAAUUCAAUGAUAGACCUUAAUGAUUAUGAAGAUUGUCUCAGAAAGGAUAUAUCAAUCGAGUCUUGAAAUGAUUUUAAUAUACAGCUUUGUUCAGUAAAUCAUAAAAGCAAAAUUUUAGUCAAUAGUAAAUGCUUGAAAAUGACUUGAAAAGAAUCAGAUAAUGAAGAUAUUCUUUGUAUAUGCGUAGUUGGAAGUCUAUGCUCAAACCUGUGUUAGAAAAGAUAUCAGUUUUUACAGUUAAAAUGUUGGGUAUAUAUUUGAGUUACCCAAAAGUAAAAGCAUUAAAGGACUACAGAGAAAGUAAUAAGAUAUCCGGAAGGGACAAAGGAUUAUAUGCUCACAUGUAUGAAAUUAUAUCGGCUUGAAAUAAUGGUAUUUUUUCAGAUGCUGAUUAUAUAAAUUGCCUCGAUAAUAGGAAGUCCACCUUACGGUUAAUAUCUAUGUAAUUAGAGAGGCAAUUUAUUAUUAUUAAUAAUAGAAGUUGAUUUUGUGGCAUGCUUUGAGGCCACUAAUCAAAUUUUUGACUGCAAAAUUUUUAUCUUAGGACUUGGUGUAGUCAGACUCAAUUACCAAGUCGUUGAAGAUAUUUUAUGACAUUGCAGUAGUUUUCUCCUCUAAGAAUGACAAGUACUAUUGCAUCUAUAUGCAUUAUGGUAUAAAGUACUUGAUCGUUAGAGAAGAUGAGUCCAGAAACAUCUAAUGUCAAUUAAUUACUUGAGUUCCACUGUAUUGAUUGCUGAUCCAUUCACUUAAGACUUACAGUCUAAAGUAUUUUGAAAGAACAUGUUCUUAUGAUUGGGUUUGUGAGCAACCCAUAAAGGAUAUGGUGAUGCAUGUUUGAGUGGACACUAUAAUUGACAUUCUUACUUACGUACUUAAAGUUAUUUGUUUCUGCUAUUCUGUUCACAAUUAUGUAUGUACAUAUUAUGGUUGAAUGUGAUGACAUGAUUGUUUUGACAAGACAAAUUAUAGGGGUCAUUUUGGACUGCAUUAGGAAAGGCUAACAGUAUUGUGGUACAUAGAAGGAAGUGUGACACUGAUGGCAUACAACCGCUAUGACUCAUAUUGUUAGUCAGACUUAAUGUAGUAUUAUUAUUAUUAUUGGACUUAUUGGCCUAUUUUCUAAAAUUCACGCGCGUGUAUAUAGUUUUUCAAAAAUUUCAGAAUCCAAUUGAGUCAAAUUGUUUUUAAAUAAAUUUUGUUUAUUUAUUUUUGAUUUUUAAGUCUUUUUAUAUCUUACCAAUUAUUGGGCCAAGUGGGAGAAUGUUAGAUUAUGUGGCCCUAUUUAAUUAGGUAAGAUAUAUUAUAGAUAUUAUUGGAUUCUGAUUAUGGUUAUUGGCCAAUAGAAAAGAAGUCCAUAUUAAAAUAGGAUUCUUUAGGAGAUAACUUUGAUGGAAGGAACUCUCCUAAUAACUUAUCCUAGACCCUCUGCUCUCGCCUAUAAAUAGACAGGACCUCUAGGGGCUAAAGAUAUAUCAUCAGAUAUCAUCUGUGCGCAUCUGAUAGAUAGGACCUCUAGGGGUCAAGUGCGCAUCUGAGUAGUAUCUGAGUCAAUUGAGAGAUUAAGGUUUUUCUCUCAAUUUGAGUCAAGUGAGAGAUUAAGUUUUUCUCUCAAUCUCCCUCUCCCUUAAUCCCCUAAUCCAUCAAUUUAGGUGGUCCUGUGAAAAGAUAGGAAGAGAGGAGAAGGAUCUAGUUCUUUUUGUAGAUCCUUGCAGAUUGAUAUUUCAGAUCCGACGAUGGAGCACUUGUAGAUCAGAUAAGGUUUAUUUCUUCUGAACAACAAGAAAGGUAUGCAUCGUAAUAUUGUAGAUCUAAUUUAUUUGAUUUCAAUCUUGGUAUAAAAGUUUUUCCGCAUUAUAGAUAGCAUGAUUACAGAUUUUAUGCUAACAAUUUGUAAUCAUUUUUACUAUAUCUGAUAGUUUGUUAAUGUCUAAGCACUAUCUUUCUUCUUGUUGAUAUUUGAUAUGGUCAUAUUCAAAAUAUCUAAGCCUUCCUUUUAGUGAAUUACAUUUUUUUGGUUUAAAAGUUAUUUGACUUAUUUAUGAUAAUUUGAAUCAUAUUUGAUAUUCUGUUGAUAUUUGAUAUAGUUUAACUAUGUUUUUUUUCUCUUGAUGCCUAAACAUGGUUUUUUUUCUCAUUUUUAAUAAUUUUAAUGUUUUGAAUAUGGAAGUUAUCAGUGUUAUAGUCUCUUUAUAUUCUCUCCUUCAAGCCCUCUUAGCGAAAUAUUUUUUUCUCAAUUCAAAACUUAUUUGACUUAUUUCUAAUCAUUUUGACUAUUUUUCAUAUUCUGUUAGUGUCUAAGCACUAUGUUUCUUCUUGUUGAUGUUUGAUUUGGUCAUUUUACCUAUUUGAUAUUUGAUAUGGUCAUAUUCAAAAAGUCUUCUUCUAGUGUUUUACUUUUUUCUGGUUUAAAAGUUACGUGACUUAUUUAUUUAUAUCUGUUGAUAUUUGAUGUAGUUUGACAAUGUUUUUAUACUCAUCAUGUCUAAACAUGGUGGUUUUUUCUCUCAUUUUAUUAAUUUUUAUGUUUUGAAUAGGGGAGUUAUCAUUGUUGUAGUUCUCUUAUAUGCUCCUUCAAGCCCUCUUAGCGAAAUAUCUUUCUCAAUUCGAAACUUGUUUGGCUUAUUUCUAAUAAUUUUGAGUUUUUUUUAUAUACUGUUAAUGUCCAAGCACUAUGUAUUUUCUUGUUGAUAUUUGAUUUGGUCAUUUUACUUAUUUCUAAUCAUUUUGACUUUUUGUUAUUCUAGUUGUGGCAUUUAUUUCUCUCAGCAUUCUGUUGCUAUAUGCUCCUGCAUUUAAAUAAAAAAGCUUAAGGUAAUUGUUAUCAAACAAGCACUGUUGCUUGGAACAUGUUCUUAGUUUUGUUGUCUUGUAUAUUCAUAUAUGUUUCGUGAUUCUUUUUUAGAUAUUUAUUGGUUGUCAGCCCACUUGGUUUUGUGAGAGGACUCUACAUAGAGGAUCCUUAAAUAUCACAUGAAUUCGACUCCAUAUGCCAAGGUUGAAACCUGAAGGAGAUUCCAUUUAGAACAAGUUUCGGGAGUUCAAUGUUGUGUAUCUUCUAGACUCGGUCACCUCACUUGCAGAUCAUUUGUCUUCCAAGAUAGAGCCAGCCAUGCUAUUUUGAUGGGCACAUACUGGGAAAGUUUGUUUGGAAUAGCUAACUUCCAAAGCAAUUUAUUGUUCUACAUUCCAAUCAAUACCAGUAAGCUGAAAUAGCUUAUCUGGUUAGAACAAUAUAAACUACAGAGAAUGAAUGCCAAAACCAGAACUGAUCAUGUAGAAUUUAGCAUGUCCAAAUACAAAAAGUUUUAUUUGGCAAGGAACACAUCUAGUGGAUAAGAACUGAUGAUGCAUGAAUCAAUAUUACCUCAAGGGGUAUUGGGUCCCCCAAUAAUGAGGAAAGAGAGCCUGUGAGCAAGAUUUGUCUGUAUUUUAUACCUUAAGGCUCAAUGCAAUUGAGGAAUGUCUAAUAAUUUUCUGCAAGUCUUUGUCUGAUGCAUGUAGCUAAUGUACAAAGAACUGACUUUUCUGCGCCCAUUUAGAAUGAGCUCUUAAACAUGACAAACAAGGUUUAUAAUGUAGUAGGCUCUGUUAUUAUCUGGUGCAGUUGAUAUGUAGGGAACUUUAACAUGACAAAACCCUAGAAGCCCUAGAAGAACCACAAAGAAAACAGAAAGAGUAAGUUAAAGAGUAACUAGACCUAAAUAUAUGAGGUAAAAGGGGUUGC